rnacentral:rRNA from 1 species
GAUGAACGCUAGCGGCAGGCCUAAUACAUGCAAGUCGAACGGUGUCUUCGGACAUAGUGGCGCACGGGUGCGUAACACGUAUGCAACCUACCUUACAUUGGGGGAUAGCCUUUCGAAAGGGAGAUUAAUACCGCAUAAGACAGUAGCUGGGCAUCCAGCAGCUGUUAAAGAUUUAUCGAUGUAAGCUGGGCAUGCGUCCAAUUAGCUAGUUGGUGAGGUAGCGGCUCAACAAGGCAAUGAUUGGUAGGGGAACUGAGAGGUCAAUCCCCCACACUGGCACUGGGAUACGGGCCAGACUCCUACGGGAGGAAGCAGUAGGGAAUAUUGGGCAAUGGACGCAAGACUGACCCAGCCAUGCCGCGUGCAGGAUGAAGGCGUUAUGCGUUGUAAACUGCUUUUAUACAGAAAGAAACGACUCUUGCGAGAGGCAUUGACGGUACUGUAUGAAUAAGCACCGGCUAACUCCGUGCCAGCCGCCGCCGUAA